CUUAAAGGUGCCCGGCUUCUUCUUACUUUGGGCUUAAUCUUCCGCCCUGUUUUUCAUCUGUGUUCGCUGUCACGUCUCUUGUUCUCCUGUGCACUUUUUUUUCCCGGAGGGAGAGACGCUGGAGCAGAAGGAAGGAACAGAGUUCCCAGCUGCGUCUGAUGUGGAGUUUCCCGUAACAUCUUCUCUGCUAAGAAAGAUUGGGAUGCUGCCCAGAGAACAGGAGGUCAAAUGUACAAGAACCAAGGCUCACAGUGGACAGCCAGCACCACCUGCCAGACAUGUGAGUGAGACCACCUUGACAUUCCAGCCCAACCACCUCAGGACUGAAUGCAGCUGCAAGAGUGAGCCUAAGGCAAAACCAGCAGAUAAACUGUUACCCAUCCCAGAUAAUCAUGAAAGAUAGAAAGAAAUCACUACUGCUGCAAGCCACCAAGUUUUGUGGUGGUUUAUUACACAGCAACAGAUAACUGAUAAAACUGUCUUCUCUCACUUUCUCAACUUAUAAGUCCUGGCUCUCUCUUGUCUAAUUCAGAAAAUACAAUUACUUUCCUGCCAGGGUCCAGCUGGAACGGCUUCCGGCACUUUCCUAUUACUUUUUCCUCAGUUUCAGAAAUGAUCUGCACAAGACAGUUAUUUAAAACUUUAGCAUCAUCACUCUUACAAUCAGGAGAUUAUUUCCUCUCUUUUGAAGACCUCUGGUGUACUGUCAGACUUUCCUGAACUUUGUUUUGCUCAUUCCAACUUCCUCUCUGUUACUGAUAGGAAGCCUUCACUUAACUUUCUCAAGCAGCUUUAUUUCAUUAAGAGCUAUCUUUUCUCCAAAAGGUUCAUGGAAUUCUUAUGCAUUUUUUUCAUAUGAACUUAAACAUUUCUAUAGAUCUCUUUACAUUUUCUUCUUAGUUUAUAGCAAAACAAGUAAUUUUUUCCACUUCAUCAAAGAGAUGCUUUCCUAUUUUAAUGGUUGCUCUCUUCAAGCAAGUUCUUAGCUUGUGAAAUUUCUGUUGAAAUUCUGAUACCUUUUCAGGAACUGGGGUUUUUCCCAUUAAAUUGAAGUUUAUCCUUCUCAGCAAUUGAUAUUUAAUUACUUUGGUAUGACCUGUUAUUUUUUACACACGAAUCUUCUCCAGACUAUAGGACAAAUACCAGUGAGGAGUUUAGGACAACAUUCCAGAGCACACCUUGUAAAUUCCACGGGUUACUGUCUAUAUUGCACCAGCAGCCUAGAUCCUGAUCAAGGUUCCACAGGGCUCCUAUCUAAAUUGUUCAAGGAAGUGAAAGGCCCUGUUUCUAAACUGUGAUUUUUAUUUUUUUGAGCAGUGGUUCUCAAAGCUUUUUACAAAAAUUGGCAAGGUUAAAACUAUUUUCAUAAUAACACUAAGACUUUAUUUGCCCAUUUCUCUCUUAUUCAUUCGCAUUCACAGUGGAGUUUUCUAAGGAAACAGGGUUGAUUUUACCACUAGUUACUCUGAAAGCUAAUGGAAUGUGUGCUUCUGUAUUAGUGGGCUAAAAUUUUUUGUUUUAAAAUCCAAUAUGAUAAAUAUUGAUGAUAUAUCCAUAAAGACUUUAUUUUUCAUUUUUUGUUUAUAGUUUUAUAACUUUAUUCGAUGAUCAGCAGUUAGUUCUCAUCCACAUUAAGUAUUGUAUAUGUUUCCUUUUUCCCCGUUGACCUCUCCCCAGCCGUUCCCACCCCUAGCACCACACUGUUUAUAGAUUUUUUUUUCCCAAUAUUAACAACACUUUUUUUUCUUUUUAUAUUUUUAUUGAUUUCAGAGAGGAAGGGAGAGGGAUAGAAAGAAAUAGAAACAUCAGUGAUGAGAAAGAAUCAUUGACUGGUUGCCUCCUGCAGCCCCCCACUGGGGAUUGAGCCCACAGCCCUGGCAUGUGCCCCUGAUCCGAAUCGAACCUGGGACCCUUCAGUCCACACUCUAACACUGGAUCCGGUGAGGGGGCGUGCAAGAGGCAGCCAAUGGAUGUUUCCAUCUUACAUGGAUAUUUCUCUAAGAAAAAAACAAACAAAAGCAAGAAACAAAAAACCCAAGCAAACCUAAUAAGUGGAGGAAAAUAUUUUUGAAGAAUGUGUUUCAACCAGAGUAACCAGGGGAAAUUAUGCCAAAUAUCCUGAGAGGGGCGGACGGGGAAUACCAGAUACAGUAAUAAGCCUCUAGUAGCGGUGGAUCAGUCCUACUACCAUGGGGUGGGGAUGGAAAUCGAGGACAAGGAGGAAGGUAUUCCUGGAACUGGAUAGCUAAAAACCUAAAAAACCGGGGCAAUUUAUAUUUGAUAUGCCCACAUGGACCAUGGGGGCAGGUUUGAGUUAAGCCGGAGCGGGGAGUUAAAAUGCAGAGGCUGCGAGGCAGAAAUUCAGAAAGUGGUGUAACGCCCUGAAAUGCCUCAGCGGAGGAAGCGGCUGUGCUUUGCCUACGGGUGGGAAUACACUCGUGGGUCUCCCAAAAGAGCCCAAGGGGGAGAGAGAGGUGACGGCGACACGCUGCACGCGAGUCCUACUCCACCUCCAUCACUAGGAGCACCAGACACACCCAGUACCGGAGCGCCAGCUGGCCUCUGGGUGGCGACGGCGAUAGUCUCAGCAGACGCCAGCGAAAACUUCCUGUUCCCGGCUCCCCUAGCCGCCAGUUCCGAGAUUACCUUCUCCUCCAGAGCCCAGAGGGGCGGACGGCUUGGGCGCGCGUCUCUGCACCCCGGAGGGAGCAAGGGAAGUGGGGUCUGGGCGACAAUGCUGGAGAAAGCCCUGUGCUGUGCAUGCGCCUAGGGACGGGGACCAAGGCGGGUGGGGAAGCAAAGCGGCCGGAAAGGCACUGGCGCCCGAAACUACUACUACAAAGAGCUGUCACGAGCCACCGAAAGUCACGUGAUAGCAGAGCCAGAGUCAUCACGUGGCCCUCGGGGCGGGGUCUGAGGAGAUACUUUCAGGGUGGCCAUGAGUAUUUAUGAGCUUAUGCUGCAGAAGGAAAUAAUGUCUUCCAAGGUAGCUGAGACCAGCUUCUGAUGCCCAGAAAUCUGAUGUGAAAAAGUGUUAUUUGUGGCUGAAGAAACACAGACUUCUCUCUCAGUUUCCUGAAACUCCCCCUCUUUCUUUCUCUCCUUUAAAACUCUUCUGCUUGGUAUGGAACUUUGGAGAUGGUCUUUGGACAUUAGCCUGCCGUCUUCCUGAAUAAAGCAAAAAUUCCUUUUCACCCAA